UUCUCAAAAUUUCAUUUUGGUCCCCCAAACUCUCCGUUCUCUCUCCUCUCCCACGCGGCCGAACCGCUCAACCCGACCCGGCCGAACGGCGGCCCUCCGGCCUCCUCCGGCCCCGGACCCGGCCUUCCCCGAGUUCGCCGUCGCACGCCUGGCCUCCCUCUGGUGUCGCUGUGCCCCGCCGCUGCCCCCAGACGUGGAUCGAAGCCACCCCAGCCGUGCGAAACCCGACCCGGCCGGAAAACGACUUUUCCGGCGAUGCACGGGCCGAUCGUUCCCAUUUUCGUGAUCUCCUCCUCAUGAUGAUCAUCCCCAUGUACUUGACGGUUUGAGUUGACGAGCGUUUGGAAUAUCGUUAUAAUUGACUUGUUAGAAGACGCAGCGGGAUUAGAGUUCUUUCUUGUUUACUCACGAGCUUUGCAAAAAGCUUACCGGGUUUGGUGUUGUUGCAAUCCCGGUACACUAUUCAAAUUGUGUAGUGGGUAAUCUCACAGGUCAGGAGAAUCAGGCAGUGAUCGUGCAGUUUAGAGUACUAGUAUUAGAUUUACAGCAAUUGUUUUGUGAGGAGAAUUAUACUCAUUUGAGUUUUACAAUUUGAUUUGGUGAGAGUGUGCUGUAAUAAGUAGCUCGAGGAUUUGGUUUAUGUAAUAUUAAGAGGUGUAAACUAGUGGUUGUUUCUGAGAGAAAAAUUCAGAACGUUAUUUGUAUUGUUAUUAGUCAUGUUCCGGAUUUGAAUCCUUAUUUCAAAAUUCGGGGUGUGACAAAUCACCCUUACACGUGGUCUGACGGUUUUGGAUCGCGGUGUCCGAACGGGUGAAAACAGUUCAUCUUAAUGUUGGUGGCUGGGUUGUAUCGGUACUGGUUUGGUUGUUACUCA